rnacentral:rRNA from 1 species
UACGAAGGGUGCAAACGUUGCUCGGAAUCAUUGGGCGUAAAGCGCACGUAGGCGGCUUCGCAAGUCGGAUGUGAAAUCCCGUGGCUCAACCAUGGACGUGCAUCCGAAACUGCGAGGCUUGAGUAUGGAAGAGGGUCGCGGAAUUCCAGGUGUAGCGGUGAAAUGCGUAGAUAUCUGGAAGAACACCGGUGGCGCAAGCGGAUUGCUGGGCCAUAACUGACACUGAGGAACGAAAGCUAGGGGAGCAAAUGGG